CCUAUCGCUUGUACGUAGUACAAUCUCUGGUCACAAUGCUUCGCAUCAUCCUGUCAAACUGAACCGUAGGGACAAGUUAGGAUAUUGUAAUCAACCAUUACACUUAAACAACAUACAAAACAUGGUAUCCCUAUUCCUAAAACGGUUAGCACGACUCACAUCUCUUUGAGCAAUUUUCGAAAUACGCAAGAACAAAGACUUAAAAUUAAUAAAAGGGACUUCGUCAUUUUGAAUCGUCCUCAUUUGCCGCUACCGACCAGAGUCCGUUACACAUACUCUGGUCAAACGAACAAAUUGUGAACGUUUUGUAAUUUAAAGUGCUGUGAAUAUCUGUUAUUUGUACCCAGCAUUCCUGUAGCCGGCGAAAUGGUAAAAUUAGUUCUUGUAUUUUAUUGAGUCGUGUCUAAUUAGUGUCUUAAUUGUUAAUUGUAGUGUCAGGGAGUUGGUCCCAACCCGCACCAUCCAAACUAACCGUCAAGGACCGCGCUCUACGUCAAAAGUGGUCGUUUGGUUGGUGGUGCAAGGAGGUAACAAAAAUGUGAACCUCCAAGUUGGCAGAGCGCGCCAACCCGAGAAUCUGUUAGAGCGCAAUGGCGGAGGCCAUCCGGUUUUUAUCCAAGACAAAGACACAAAACCAAAGACACCAAAACCGUUGCUGCGCCAGGCCUGGCCGGAGGAAGAUCCUCCGACUUGACUCGACCACCACGGGAUACACUAGAACACACGAACACACACACACAUGGUUAGGUUAGU